rnacentral:rRNA from 1 species
UACGGGGGGGGCAAGCGUUGUUCGGAAUUACUGGGCGUAAAGGGCUCGUAGGCGGCCAACUAAGUCGGAUGUGAAAUCCCCAGGCUUAACCUGGGAACUGCAUCCGAUACUGGAUGGCUUGAAUCCGGGAGAGGGAUGCAGAAUUCCAGGUGUAGCGGUGAAAUGCGUAGAUAUCAGGAGGAACACCGGUGGCGAAAGCGGCUUCCUGGCCCGACAUUGACGCUCAUGUACGAAAGCGUGGGGAGCAAACAGG